rnacentral:lncRNA from 1 species
AUCACAGUGGAAGCACAACCCUUGCACUCGCUGACGAUGUGCUUCUUCCUAAGAUAACCGCUUGGGCAGAGCGGUUGUCAUUGUUAGGGCUCACAUAGGCUGAUCAGGAGAGGAAGAUGUUUGCUGAUUUGGUUGAGUCCACCCCACCCAUCUCAGCCUGUCUUGACGGCCCAACAACUCCUCGCGCAUAUGGGCAGGCUUAUUGCAUCCUUCCGUAUUCUGGGCUUAAACAUCCUUAUGUCAUGUGUGAUUUCGGCCUUGAGACCAUCAAUGAAGGUUCCAAAGAGAGCAUUUUGGGUCCAGCC